rnacentral:ncRNA from 1 species
CCAUGCAUGUCUAAGUACAAACUACAAUAAAGUGAAACCGCAAAAGGCUCAGUAUAACAGCUAUAAUUUCUUAGAUCAUAUUCCCAGUACUUGGAUAACUGUGGAAAAUCUAGAGCUA